GCAGUAACUGUGAGAUGCAGGGGAGCAGGACAUUGAGAGCACCGGCCACACUGCCUGCAACCACAGCUAGGACCUGAGAGAAAGCCUGCAGAGGGAGGUUUGUUUCAGACAACAGUGAGGGCUAAUGUGGUAAUAAAACCUGAUCAUGUACACACAAGUUGAAAACUGGAAGCCGGGAAUCCGCUCCAAGUAAACCGGACUACUUCUUACCUUCUGCACCGACAGCAGCGUCUGUUCUCCGACCACCCUGCCCAGGUAGGUCGUGCCCUGCUCGGCCAAGUCAGCCAGGUUGUCCCGGAGUUCCUGCAUGGUCUCCGGUAGCGUCUCAAACACCGUCUCCCCCUAAA